GACGAACGCUGGCGGCGUGCUUAACACAUGCAAGUCGAACGGAAAGGCCCUGCUUUUGUGGGGUGCUCGGGUGGCGAACGGGUGAGUAACACGUGAGUAACCUGCCCUUGACUUUGGGGUAACUUCAGGAAACUUGGGCUAAUACCGGAUAGGAGCUCCUGCUGCAUGGUGGGGGUUGGAAAGUUUCGGCUGUUGGGGAUGGACUCGCGGCUUAUCAGCUUGUUGGUGGGGUAGUUGCUUACCAAGGCGUUGACGGGUAGCCGGCCUGAGAGGGUGACCGGCGACACUGGGACUGAGAGACGGCCCAGACGGCGACGGGAGGCAGCAGGGGGGAAUAUGGCACAAUGGGCGGAAGGCUGAUGAAGAAACGCUGCGUGCGGGAUGACGGCCUUCGGGGUGUAAAACGCUUUCGCCUGUGACGAAGCGUGAGUGACGGUAAUGGGUAAAGAAGCACCGGCUAACUACGUG
rnacentral:rRNA from 1 species